AGAAUUACAACUUUAAACAGAAAUGGUUUGGGGUUCACUGGCACUUUAAUUUAAAAGUACGAGCGGCGACGGUUUAGGCAGAGAGCGGGAGGGGGCUGGCUCUAAACCCGAACUGUAGUAGCAUGUGCGGGCGGUAGUCUGCACUACUGUACACGGUGGUGGUACUUGCGGGUUUAGCGCCACAAAGCUGUCAGUCUCGGCAGCCCUGUGAGAAGAAGGCGGGGUGCUCGUUUUGAACCAACCUCGUGAAUCACAACACCGGACCGCGGACAGCCAGCCAGACGCACAGACAUUCAGGUUGUAGAGUAGCUGAGAGAGGCUUUUCUUCUGGGGGAACUACUGAAGGAAUGUGCGUCGCAUCGGCACAACGUUGUUGCGUGAGGAACUGAGGUAGACGGGUCGGUUUCCAGACGUCAGAGUCUCUCGAAGUUAAGCGCUCAAUGACCGGACGUAGAUGAUUAAUUAUUGUAUAUAACUCCGCGUAGUUGUGGUGGAGUGACAGCCGAGGGAACAGGGUGCAGGCUGCAUGAAUGAAACGCCGCCGCCGCACGAGCAGCUCGCUUAAGGGUAUAAUAUCGCAUUUUUCUAGGAAUUGAAAGGGAACUACAUCUUCUACAUCUUCAGCAUCUGUGAGGAACAUCGUGGUGCCAGACUUUCGUCCUCUGGAUCUGAGCAUCAGUUUCUGUAGCAGCCACGCUGGAGGGAAUUACUCAGAAACCCAGCUGGAAAUAAGAGGUUGAGUGGCUCCGCCGCGGCCCAGGGUCACUUACGUCACCUGAUUACAGGGAGGCCAAGGCCAACUGCACCACUGAGCAGCCACGCCGGCUCCAUGGAGCAUCGUCUCAGGCCAGAGUCCCUCAGGCCGUCCGCCGCACCUACCGCCUGCACCAGUGGCCCCUUAACCCAUUUACCUGCUGGGAAAAGAAAGGCCUUGAAGCCAUGGAACGGCUCGCCCAUAAAACCACCGAAUGACUUUGAAACAAACCGCCACACAUUCCAGUCCACAGUUUUAAUUGGAUUUUUUUCCCCUCAGAAACAAGGAGGUAAUUUAUGACUCCUCGGGAAAAAGAAUCGUACAUUUCUGUAUUCUAACGGGAAUGCUAUGAUAAUGUUCCCAUCGAAAUCACCCUGGUAAUUAAACUGCCUGGAAUUCUUCGUUUCAUUUAGUAGAUGAAGCGAAAGAAAUGCAGCCUCUCAUGGCUUCACAUGAAAUUGUCGUUUUUUAAUUCCACAAGAGUGGUUUCAGUGGUGUUUUGCAAUUACAUCG
ensembl:lncRNA